GGCUCUCUGCCUUUAUUUUAUAGAGAGUCCGGCCUGCCCAGUGAAAAAUAUUUAACGGCCGCGGUACUCUGACCGUGCAAAGGUAGCAUAAUCAUUUGCCUUAUAAUUGAAGGCUAGUAUGAAUGGUUUAACGAGAGCAAUACUGUCUCCUUUCUAUUUUCAAGAAUUUAACCUUUAGGUGAAGAGGCCUAAAUUUAAUUGAAGGACAAGAAGACCCUGUCGAGCUUAAAAGACACUACAGAAGUUGAUAUAUUUAUAAAUAAAUCUUCUGUUAAGCUUUUUAGUUGGGGCGACUAAGGAACAAAAAAAGCUUCUUAUAAUAAAUUAACACGCAAGUUUUGAUCCGGUAAUAAUCGAUUGAGGAAAUUAGUUACCGCAGGGAUAACAGCAUAAUCUCUCUUGAGAGACCUAAUCGAAAGAGGGGGUUGUGACCUCGAUGUUGGACUAGAAUAUCCUAAAGAUGCAGAAGUCUUUAAGGGUCGGUCUGUUCGACCGUUAAAAUUCU
rnacentral:rRNA from 1 species